AGAGUUUGAUCAUGGCUCAGGAUCAACGCUGGCGGCGUGCCUAAUGCAUGCAAGUCGAACGGGACCCUUCGGGGACACCCGUGGCGAACGGCUGAGGAACACGUGCGUACCUGCCCCAUCGUGGGGAAUACCGGCUGGAAACAGCCGACAAUACCGCGUACGCUUGCUCGUGAGAGUAAGGAAAGCUCGUAAGAGCGCGGUGGGCGGGGCGCGCGGCCCAUCAGGUCGAUGGCGGGGUAACGGCCCACCAUGCCAAUGACGGGUCGCUGGUCUGUGAGGAUGGCCAGCCAGACUGGGACUGCGACACGGCCCAGACACCUACGGGUGGCAGCAGCAAGGAAUCUUCCCCAAUGGACAAACGUCUGAGGGAGCAACGCCGCGUGGAGGACGACGGCCUUCGGGUUGUAAACCUCUUUCAGUAGGGACGAAGCGCAAGUGACGGUACCUACAGAAGAAGCACCGGCCAACUACGUGCCAGCAGCCGCGGUAAUACGUAGGGUGCAAGCGUUGUCCGGAAUUAUUGGGCGUAAAGAGCUCGUAGGCGGUCUGUCACGUCGGCUGUGAAAACCCGAGGCUCAACCUCGGGCCUGCAGUCGAUACGGGCAAACUAGAGUACUGCAGGGGAGACUGGAAUUCCUGGUGUAGCGGUGAAAUGCGCAGAUAUCAGGAGGAACACCGGUGGCGAAGGCGGGUCUCUGGGCAGUAACUGACGCUGAGGAGCGAAAGCGUGGGGAGCGAACAGGAUUAGAUACCCCAGUAGUCC
rnacentral:rRNA from 1 species